rnacentral:rRNA from 1 species
AUUGAACGCUGGCGGCAGGCCUAACACAUGCAAGUCGAACGGUAACAGGAAACAGCUUGCUGUUUCGCUGACGAGUGGCGGACGGGUGAGUAAUGUCUGGGAAACUGCCUGAUGGAGGGGGAUAGCUACUGGAAACGGUAGCUAAUACCGCAUAACGUCGCAAGCCCAAAGAGGGGGACCUUCGGGCCUCUUGCCAUCGGAUGUGCCCAGAUGGGAUUAGCUAGUAGGUGGGGUAACGGCUCACCUAGGCGACGAUCCCUAGCUGGUCUGAGAGGAUGACCAGCCACACUGGAACUGAGACACGGUCCAGACUCCUACGGGAGGCAGCAGUGGGGAAUAUUGCACAAUGGGCGCAAGCCUGAUGCAGCCAUGCCGCGUGUAUGAAGAAGGCCUUCGGGUUGUAAAGUACUUUCAGCGGGGAGGAAGGGAGUAAAGUUAAUACCUUUACUCAUUGACGUUACCCGCAGAAGAAGCACCGGCUAACUCCGUG